rnacentral:lncRNA from 1 species
UGUAAAGAUCACAGCCUUUGAGGGAAGACCUGUUAUUUGGACUGGAAGCUUCCAAUACUUUGGAAGCUGUGAGCAAACAAGACCAACGCUGGCUGCGUGAAAUCACUGAGUACGUCAAGUGCAGAAGGGAAAGCACCAAAAAAGCUGAGGGCUUUGAAACUGUUUAUCUAAGUUUCUUGCAUGGCCCCUCUUAUCGCAGCAUGGCAGCACCUCCCGGAUGGUAAGACGUUUAUCUUCUUGCCAACACCCUCACAGGGUUCCUAUCCCUAUUUUGGUUAGGAGACCCCUGUGCAGGCGCUGAGUGAUAUGCCCAAUGGCACUUGGGGUUUCUGUGGCAGAUCAAGGAAUGAAGCUCAGCUUUCCCAUGCCCUGGGCUAAUUCCUUAGCCCUGUGGGAUCCUGCUAGAAAUGAGCAGAAUGGCUUAGCAAAACACAGCAGCAUGUGGAAUUAAUGCUCCAAUGCUGUAUGAGGGAGGCCAUCCUUGAAUCUUAUGUUGGCACUUAAGUCCCAGCCUUUAGAAACAAGUUGCUGUUCUGUAGUGGGGAGCUGAAGUUGGCCCUGGGAUGAGCAGAAUUCAGCUACCUGGGGCAAAACUUAUUAGUCUGAGUAUAGUACUGUGAUGGGCAGGCCGUGCUGCUUCGGAGACCAGAUCUACACAAUGCCAUGUGUGCAGACCAACUGGGAUUCCAGGCUCUUUCAUCACCUUGGGUCAAAGGAGGAUCUCCUUGUGUCAGCAGGCCACUGGAUUACAACAAAUCACAGAACCAUAGGAGGUGGAAGGGUUUUCAAGGGAUCAUCUUGUCCAGCCCUCUUAGUGGGUUCUCCUGUGCAGUCUGCCCUUGUGAAAGCACUAUCCUGGGAUGCUGUUUUGCAUUAGUUUCCUUCCAAAAUGGGUCUGGCAGUUUCAGCCAUUGACCUGCUGGUUGCCCAUGAGUUGCCCCACGUUCUCACUCCUGCUUUCCUACCACCUCCUCCACCUCCUGAUCCAUGCUCUUCCCAUUACUACCACUGCAGAAUACCCUUGUCCUAACAAUGUGCCUUAGAAUCACAAAUAAUGGAGUGGGGAAUGAAUAACAGGAGAGAGUGAAUAUUUACUGUGUCCAGGUUAUUACUUAAUAACUGCCUGCUUCAUUCUUUGAUAACAUUUAAACUAUCUGAAAUUGCUGCAUCUAAUACAUGCUACUAAAUAGUGCCAUGCCCAUAACUUGAUUGCAGCAAUCCAUCGGGGACGUGUUUCAAAAUGUCAACAUUUCUCUGCAGUUCUUAGCACGAGCGUUGAGAAAACCCAGUGUUUCAGAUGCUGCUGGGUCUGCUAGAUGCUGAAGUGGUGUCAGCACGAUUUCUCUUACUCAGUACUGGCACCCAAAGCCACUUUUUGGGUGAGGCCAGAGUAAUAUUGUACACACGGACAGGCAAUUUGCUUAGAAGGGUAUAUGAGGCUGCAGAACAGUGGGAAGGUGAAGACGAGCACAGAAGGCAACAAUCCCUGCUGGCUGCCUUCCUGCUCCAUGCUCUGUUCCCAGUGGUUUCGCUGAACAGGCGAACUGGUGUGCUGUCAGUCUGGAAUGCCAUCAGCUCCUCCAAACCUUGGUUUCUGAGGGCUCGCUCUCCUGUGCACACUCAGCAAGUCUCCAGUAGGAGCGAAAAGCCUCUUCCAUUGUCACUGCAAGGCAGCAACGCAUCACGAAGUCCUCAUCUAAGGAGAUCCUAGAUGAGUGUCUCAUUUGCAUGUCUAACAAAGCUUUGGGUAAUCACGGAGAGGACGCUGGACUCAGUUAAAAGACUGGGUGUUUGGAAAGAGGCAUCUGUGCUCGGCGAUCCCUUGAUCUGCCUCAGAUUUGAGUCCGUCUUGCAAAAGGAUGCUGCAUCUUCGCUGCACAUCUGGAAAUUCCAGAUUUUUGUGGAAGGCAUUGGGUUCCGGAGCUGGGAGGUCUGGGACAUCAUACUGCUUGUUUUUUCAAGCACUCUUCUGUAGCAAAAGUAAUACCAGGAGUGGAAGGCCUUCCCUGGGCAGCCAGCAGAGGGGAGGAAGUACUGGGGUCUGCUGGCACAGCAGAGCUUGCCAAGGGAGAUCUCGAGUCCAGAUCUGGCUGGUUGCAGCAGUUUUGUUAUGGCAUUAUGCAAAGUCCUUUGAAGAUUUCCUCUUGGCAGAGCCUGCCGCGUCAUCACAGAGGUAGAGCAGGGAAUGAUCUAAAUCUUGUUAGGCGUUGUGAAGCAGUCAGAACAGCUGGCUGCAAAAUUAGCCCCUCAACAAAGAAGGAAGCGAGGGGGUUGUAAGCCUGAAAGAGUAGGGGUGAGGCUGUUAGUGAUACAGGACACAGUGCAGCAGGGGGCUGGGGCAGGUUGGCUCUGGCUUGAGAUGUGAAUGAAAGCAAGUGAAGGUGAGUUAAGGUAUUCAGGGAAAGGGGAGAUGAGCACAAUGAAGUCGAUAUAUGGAACAGCUCCUUUUUCUGAAGUUCCACGAUGUUCACCUAAGUGCAGUGAUCUUCAUGUCCUUCUAAUUCCCCUCUUUGCAAUCUCACAAAUCAAGGGGAUGGCUUUGCUUUUACCUGCUGUUGCAUACUGUUGGUAACUCACGGUGGUCUCCCAAGGUGACUGCCCACACCUGGGGCUGGUCAUGCUCUGACUGUGCAGGUGACAGAGCCUUGGCCAGGACACAUUCUGUGCUUGUGUUCCUGCCAUUUCCCCUCACUCUGGGGUGUCACAUCCUCAGGGCCCCAGCACAGAGGUCUUUAGCUUCACAGCGAUGUCUUUCACACCUUCCCCACCAUAUGCUUCUCUUGCUUCCCUUUCCUGCCAAAGUACAUCCCCAACUUCUCUGUCCGCAUUUGCUCCUCCUCUGUCUCUAAUGAGGCAAAUGUUAAAGCUCAGCAAAGGAUAUCUGUUGAGCUCUGAGGAUUGCUGGUGGGAGAAACCCCACGGGUGGCUGAAAAUGUUUCAGCAUCCCCCUUCUUACUUUUCAUUUACAUCUCGUCUCUGCAGAGUGGGUAGUGUUCCUUGGAAACAGCAACACUUAUAUACGUUACUAUAUUACUUAUAUACAUUAACUAUAUUACAUAUAGUACGAGGGCUGCUCCGAAUGUAGUACCUCCCAUUUUAUGAUGUCAACCUACAAAGUCAGAGGCAGAUGUUGGUGGUGUGACAGUAGAGGUUGAACCUUCUCACUAAUAUUCCAUUACAUGUUGUUGCCACGUGACAGAUGGCAGCAAGAGGGGCAGUCUGACAGAAUGGCACUUGAAGAAGAUGGAAGAGCAUAUGAAGCAAAGUUUCCACGGAAAUAAGAAGGCAUUACUUUUGGAACAACCACUGUAGAUGCAGCCCUGGAUAAUUCCUCUUCACCCAAUGUGGCCCAGCGACCAGCAGCAGAGACGCUGUCCUGCCCGUCCCACAUUGUUUUCCCUGUGGCUUGGAAAGCCCAAAAGUCUCUGGUGAAACCUUUGAAAGCUGCUUCUUUAAAGGGCCUGAAAACCUCCACCCCAGCAAAACCCCCAGGCUGGGGCUCUUCACUGAAGACCCACGUUGCAUCCGAGGACAAGGCUUUUUCUUCCCAAGGGGGUCCUGCUGUGCGUGGAAAUAUGAAAGAUGCCCUCGAAAAGAAACAAACCCUUCAGGUUGCAGUAGAGACGGAGUGGGGCUGAACAUCAAUUUCAGCUUUCAAGUGACUUUACGCUGUCUCCUUGAUUGACUUGCCAGUUUUAAUACUGUAAAUUGAGGGAUUGCGUGUAAUGCAUUCAUGCCGUUCUUGUCUGGAAUGAAGCAGGAACAUAAUUUAUGGGGAUAUUCUCAUCUCAGCCUUUGAGGAAUUAGCUUCAAUUAACUCUGUUGGGAAUUGCAUGUGUCGGGUGUCAGAAAGCCAUCAAGUUUUCUUUAGAAAUGCCUGCUGCUGCGCACAUUUCAUUCUUUGGCUGUCUGAAGGGUUUUAGCAGUGGAUAAGGAUUCAAAGCUUGGGAAACUCAGAUCCGGGUGACCAAGUUUCACAGGGUUAAUACAGAGCACGGAUGAUGGACAGGGCUGCAGCCCAUUAGGAUUUAUAGCCCUCCAGUACGAGCAGGAGAGUUUUGGGGGAGGGUCGAGCAGCUCCUGAACCCAGUGUGCAGAAUGAGCAAACAAACCAGGAGACAGGCUGGAAAAUAAGAUCUCGGUGGAUAAAUCUUACUGACACCCAUGAGAAUAAGAAAGAGCAUUGGCUUCGGGUGCCAUUUUGAAACAGAGACUCCUCAGCACUGGGUUUCUGUGCUGGUGGGGACAGAUUCAGGCAGAGAUGUCUGAUGCUUCUUGAAGGCCAAAAAUCCCCCCUCCUGGCCCUUAAUCAGCACUUCAUUAUCAGCUGCCACCCCCAGAUCAGCCACCAGCCUCACUUUGUGGGUGCAAACUGUUUCCCAGAGAUGCCCUCACACCUAAAGGGCCAAUUCUCCAUCCCCAGCUUAUCCCGAGGAUUAAAAACCCACCCAAGCGCCAUCUGAGCAAAUCCAAACCAGGAAUCCUAAUCAGUUCUGUUGCUAAAAGUGCAUUAAUGCGACACAAGAGAGAGCGUGGCUUUCUUCCAGCGGAUCCAACAAUCACAGCUCAUUUGGGUGAGGGAUUUUUCUGCUGCUGUGUAUUGACACAAAGGAGCACUUAGCUUGAUAAUGCCUCCUGGCUGCUGCCACGAUGCGAAUAUUAAGAACAAAUUAAGGUGUAAGACUAAGCUCUAGGUGUUGUUACCUGUUCACGGUGAGGUAGCAGUUGCUUCUUUAGCUUUUUCACACCAAAAUAUUGGCUCUCAGCGCUCAGGAGUUUAAAAAUAAAAUUGAGCUCCUACCUAUCGCAGGAAACAAUUAGGAUGCGAGGUCUCUUUUUAAUAUUUCUUCUGUGGUGUUUCUAAUCUGCAGUUUAAUCUGACAUGGUGUGAAGUAGGACCGGCUGCAAUCCCCAUGAAUCCAGCUGGUCGGGAUGACUUGCUCACUGAGCUGGUUGAAAGCAGUGCGGACACAGCAGCUCGCAUAAAUUGAAUGCCAGCUUGAUGUUUGUCAUGGCCACAGAAAUCCUGAGGCUGAGACUGGUGUCAGCAUGGGGAUUGUCCUGCACCAGAGUUCUGCUGCCUGGACUGGCUGAUCUUGGGGUGUUUGCCACUCUGAAUCCCACUUAGGGUGGCAGUGGCAAAGGUGAAAGUAGUUGCUCAAAUUCUCCGAAGUCAAACUGUAUUGACCCUCAGUUAGGUGUAAAGUUUGUUUGCCUACAUGUACCCUUGACAUGACACCUAACUGAGUGGUGCAGCUGAUAGAUCAGAAGGAAGGGAUGGCACCCAGGAGGACCUGGGCAGGCUUUAAAAGUGGGCCCACAUGAAACCAGUGAAGUUCAACAAGGCCAAGUGCAAGGUACUACUCUUGAAUCAGGAUGAUCCCAGCUGUGGGUACUGGGAGAAGAACUCAUUGUGAGCAGCCCUGCCGAAAAGAACAUGGGGGUUCUGGUGGACAAGAAGCUGAGCAUGAGCCUGCAGUGUGUGCUUGCAGCCCAGAAGACCAGCUGUGUCCUGGGCUGCAUCAAGAGAGGGGUGACACUGGGACAAGGAGGGGAUUGUCCCCCUCUGUUCUGCCUUUGUGAGGCUUCAUCUGCAGUACUGCAUCCAGGCCUGGGGCCUCCAGCACAGAAAGGAUGAGGAGCUGUUAGAGCAGGUCCAGAAGAUUCCACAAAGAUGCUUAGAGGGAUGAAGCACCUCUUCCAUGAAGAAAGGUUGAAGGAAGUGGGCUUGUUCAGCCUGGAGAAGAGAAGGCUCCAGGGAGACCUUAUCGUGGCCUUGCAGUACUUGAUGGGAGAUUAUAAGCAGGAGGGAGACUGGCUUUUUACACAGUCUGAUAGUGGUAUGAUAAGAGGGAAUGGCUUUAUGAGGGGAGAUUUAGGUUAGAUGUUAGAAAGAAUUUUUUUACUCAGAGGAUGGUGAGGCUCUGGCACUGCUGCCCAGAGCUGUGGGUGCCCCAUUACCAACCAAAGCCAUUCUGUCAUUAAUAGUUGCAGAAAGAUGAGUGAUUGGGAUGAAAGAGGUGUCUUCUGGGUUACUGAGUGCUGGCGACAAAGCUGGCCAAACACCCUGCCUCCAGAAAUGAUCUCAGCAGUAUGUGCAGCAUAGUCAAACCUAGGGGACUGGAAGGAACAGGGAGAAAUGAGCAACAGAACAAAGCUAGGCUUGCUUUGGAAAUACUUCAGCUAAGUAAACACAUCUAAAACUAAUCUGCUCUCUAGUGAGACGGGGAAGCUGGAAAAAGCAUGGUGAAGCUUUGGUGGCUGACCAUAUGAAGGAUGAGUUCUAGGAGAUGACAGAACAGCUGCUGGGUGACAGGCUGGGAUGUACACGCUCAGUGCUGGGGAGAACAUGGGCUGCAAGUCCAUUGGCUUUCUGACCCUUCUGGGUGGCACCUUGUCCCCUCCUUGGCACCCGCCUACAACACGGCGGUGAUGAGUGGCAGGAAUUUGGAGAAUAGCACCGGCAGUGUGCUGGAGAGGAUGUGCUGGAGAGGAUGAUUUACGUAUGCAAUGCUGACAAGGAGAUGUGUGCAUAGCUUAGCUAAGCACCAGUCUGACACUGGAGGAGAGGAGGGGAGAGGUUAGGUAAGAGCAGCAGUCAUUGGAAAGCCUGAAGUGCUGGUAAGGAAGGAGGGAUAUUUUCGUUGGUGAGAGAGAGAAUGAGGAAAACAAUGGCAUGGCAACCAACAAAGAAAAGUGCAGUGAGGACAUCUGAUAUGGCAUUUAAUGGCUUUCCAAAGGGAAUGGCUGAAGUUCCAUAAACACAAAAUUUGAACAUUACACAGCAAAUAUGGUGUCAGGAAUUGUCCGGGGAUGAGGAUGGAGAGGAAUUUGGAAGCUUCCCCCACCCUGCUUUGACAAUUGCCCUGCAGCAUCCUGCCCUACCCAGCGGUACCGGAGGACUGCUUGUUCUUAGCAGCCCUGGCAGCAUGAAGUGAAACAUCUUCCUUCCAAAGAUACAGGGGGAUUUGGGAAGAGAUCUCCUCCAGGUGAGCAGCACAGCAUUAACCCCUCAGUUCCACGAGUCCCCCCUGGCUGAGCCCGAGCACUCGUGACUUCAGCUCCCUGCUUUGCCCAGCCAAAAAUGAUCUUUUAUUCCCCAACUUCAUUCAGAAAGGAACAUUCUGCUCAGUAAUGGACGAGGAUGACUGCAAAUGCUACCAGCCACACAGUAGCUCUGCGUUCCUCCUGAUUCACUCCGAGAUACAGAUUUGCUGAGGCUACUGGAAACGAUUGGGAAAUGCAGGAAAUGUAUUAGCAUGUGGCUCGGCAGCAGCUUAGCAAAUCUUGCCAAAAUCUCUCUGGCUGCCUGCGCUUUUUCUCUGCUUUUAAUGUCCUUUCAUCUUCAUUAACCUUUUAUAGCUCUGUCUGAUUGCUGCAGCUUUCCCACCAUUUCCUACCAAAAUGUCACUGUAAUAGCUUUGUUAUGGGCAGCCAAUAUCGAUGUUGGCCAUUGCAGGGCUGUUAACAUCUAAGAGAGUGAUUGAGAUGGGAUGGAGCUGUUUGCGAGCAAUGCUGAAGGUCAGAUGGAAGCUGCCAGGAGUGCAUGUAAGAGGGGAGCAGGAUGAUGUUAAUGGAAAUCACCCUCCGAAAUGCAUCUCGGUGGCUCUCCCAGAUGACCGAUAACCUUGUGAGAAUUGCAGCAGCUUCUGCAGCUCCUCGACCCAGCGAAUAAAUGUCCAGCUUUGUUCGUUUGCAACUGAGUUUUGAGGCCAAGUUUAAAAAUGACAGCAAUAAAAAAAAAAAA